GACGAACGCUGGCGGCGUGCUUAACACAUGCAAGUCGAACGGAAAGGCCCUGCUUUUGUGGGGUGCUCGAGUGGCGAACGGGUGAGUAACACGUGAGUAACCUGCCCUUGACUUUGGGAUAACUUCAGGAAACUGGGGCUAAUACCGGAUAGGAGCUCCUGCUGCAUGGUGGUGGUUGGAAAGUUUCGGCGGUUGGGGAUGGACUCGCGGCUUAUCAGCUUGUUGGUGGGGUAGUGGCUUACCAAGGCUUUGACGGGUAGCCGGCCUGAGAGGGUGACCGGCCACAUUGGGACUGAGAUACGGCCCAGACUCCUACGGGAGGCGGCAGUGGGGAAUAUUGCACAAUGGGCGGAAGCCUGAUGCAGCAACGCCGCGUGCGGGAUGACGGCCUUCGGGUUGUAAACCGCUUUCGCCUGUGACGAAGCGUGAGUGACGGUAAUGGGUAAAGAAGCACCGGCUAACUACGUG
rnacentral:rRNA from 1 species